rnacentral:tRNA from 2 species
GCCCGGGUGGCGGAAUUGGCAGACGCGACGGACUCAAAAUCCGUUGGGCUUCGGCCCUUGAGGGUUCGAAUCCCUCCCCGGGCA